AGAGUUUGAUCCUGGCUCAGGAUGAACGCUGGCGGCGUGCUUAACACAUGCAAGUCGAACGAAGCACUUUAUUUGAUUUCUUCGGAAUGAAGAUUUUGUGACUGAGUGGCGGACGGGUGAGUAACGCGUGGGUAACCUGCCUCAUACAGAGGGAUAACAGUUGGAAACGACUGCUAAUACCGCAUAAGCGCACAGGGUCGCAUGACCUGGUGUGAAAAACUCCGGUGGUAUGAGAUGGACCCGCGCCUGAUUAGCUAGUUGGUGGGGUAAAGGCCUACCAAGGCGAUGAUCAGUAGCUGGUCUGAGAGGACGAUCAGCCACACUGGGACUGAGACACGGCCCAGACUCCUACGGGAGGCAGCAGUGGGGAAUUUUGGACAAUGGGGGCAACCCUGAUCCAGCAAUGCCGCGUGAGUGAAGAAGGCCUUCGGGUUGUAAAGCUCUUUUGUCAGGGAAGAAAAGGACCGGGCUAAUAUCCUGGUUUCAUGACGGUACCUGAAGAAUAAGCACCGGCUAACUACGUGCCAGCAGCCGCGGUAAUACGUAGGGUGCGAGCGUUAAUCGGAAUUACUGGGCGUAAAGCGUGCGCAGGCGGUUGUGUAAGACAGAUGUGAAAUGCCCGGGCUUAACCUGGGAAUUGCAUUUGUGACUGCACGGCUAGAGUGUGUCAGAGGGGGGUAGAAUUCCACGUGUAGCAGUGAAAUGCGUAGAUAUGUGGAGGAAUACCGAUGGCGAAGGCAGCCCCCUGGGAUAACACUGACGCUCAUGCACGAAAGCGUGGGGAGCAAACAGGAUUAGAUACCCUGGUAGUCCACGCCCUAAACGAUGUCGACUAGUUGUUGGGUCUUAAUUGACUUAGUAACGCAGCUAACGCGUGAAGUCGACCGCCUGGGGAGUACGGUCGCAAGAUUAAAACUCAAAGGAAUUGACGGGGACCCGCACAAGCGGUGGAUGAUGUGGAUUAAUUCGAUGCAACGCGAAAAACCUUACCUACCCUUGACAUGUCAGGAACCCUGAAGAGAUUCGGGGGUGCUCGAAAGAGAACCUGAACACAGGUGCUGCAUGGCUGUCGUCAGCUCGUGUCGUGAGAUGUUGGGUUAAGUCCCGCAACGAGCGCAACCCUUGUCAUUAGUUGCUACGAAAGGGCACUCUAAUGAAACUGCCGGUGACAAACCGGAGGAAGGUGGGGAUGACGUCAAGUCCUCAUGGCCCUUAUGGGUAGGGCUUCACACGUCAUACAAUGGUGCAUACAGAGGGUUGCCAACCCGCGAGGGGGAGCUAAUCCCAGAAAGUGCAUCGUAGUCCGGAUUGGAGUCUGCAACUCGACUCCAUGAAGUUGGAAUCGCUAGUAAUCGCGGAUCAGCAUGUCGCGGUGAAUACGUUCCCGGGUCUUGUACACACCGCCCGUCACACCAUGGGAGCGGGUUUUACCAGAAGUAGGUGGCUUAACCGCAAGGAGGGCGCUUACCACGGUAGGAUUCGUGACUGGGGUGAAGUCGUAACAAGGUA
rnacentral:rRNA from 1 species